GGGACAAUAAUCAAGCUCAAGAUAAUUUGUAAUGACACUCGGAGAGGCUCGACUAGAAGCGGAGUGUUGUUGUUCAAAUUUAAAGGAUCCUUUAAUUGUACCAUACCAACCCCAACAUCACUGCCGACAAUUUCCGAGGUGACAAAAGUGUCCAAGGCCCGGCCGAAGGUUUCCACUACCUCAGAAAAGCAAUCGACGACAACAAUCUCACCGUCUAAAAGUGCUGUAGUGGCCAGUCCUGAUCCUAACCAAGAGCGAAGAUCGGGUGGAAAAUCAUCCCCCUUGGCCCUCAUCGCAGGUGUUACCGUCGCCAUUCUGGU